UACGGAGGGUGCGAGCGUUAAUCGGAAUGACUGGGCGUAAAGGGCACGCAGGCGGUGACUUAAGUGAGAUGUGAAAGCCCCGGGCUUAACCUGGGAAUUGCAUUUCAUACUGGGUCGCUAGAGUAUUUUAGGGAGGGGUAGAAUUCCACGUGUAGCGGUGAAAUGCGUAGAGAUGUGGAGGAAUACCGAAGGCGAAGGCAGCCCCUUGGGAACAUACUGACGCUCAUGUGCGAAAGCGUGGGGAGCAAACAGG
rnacentral:rRNA from 1 species